AGGGAUGCAGCUCAGCGGUAGAACAGCUGCUUUGCAUGCAGAAGGUCCCAGGUUCAGUCCCAGGCACCUCUA